ACUAAGCGUACACGGUGGAUGCCCUGGCAGUCAGAGGCGAUGAAGGACGUGCUAAUCUGCGAUAAGCGUCGGUAAGGUGAUAUGAACCGUUAUAACCGGCGAUUUCCGAAUGGGGAAACCCAGUGUGUUUCGACACACUAUCAUUAACUGAAUCCAUAGGUUAAUGAGGCGAACCGGGGGAACUGAAACAUCUAAGUACCCCGAGGAAAAGAAAUCAACCGAGAUUCCCCCAGUAGCGGCGAGCGAACGGGGAGCAGCCCAGAGCCUGAAUCAGUGUGUGUGUUAGUGGAAGCGUCUGGAAAGGCGCGCGAUACAGGGUGACAGCCCCGUACACAAAAAUGCACAUACUGUGAGCUCGAUGAGUAGGGCGGGACACGUGGUAUCCUGUCUGAAUAUGGGGGGACCAUCCUCCAAGGCUAAAUACUCCUGACUGACCGAUAGUGAACCAGUACCGUGAGGGAAAGGCGAAAAGAACCCCGGCGAGGGGAGUGAAAAAGAACCUGAAACCGUGUACGUACAAGCAGUGGGAGCCUCUUUUAUGGGGUGACUGCGUACCUUUUGUAUAAUGGGUCAGCGACUUAUAUUCUGUAGCAAGGUUAACCGAAUAGGGGAGCCGAAGGGAAACCGAGUCUUAACCGGGCGUUAAGUUGCAGGGUAUAGACCCGAAACCCGGUGAUCUAGCCAUGGGCAGGUUGAAGGUUGGGUAACACUAACUGGAGGACCGAACCGACUAAUGUUGAAAAAUUAGCGGAUGACUUGUGGCUGGGGGUGAAAGGCCAAUCAAACCGGGAGAUAGCUGGUUCUCCCCGAAAGCUAUUUAGGUAGCGCCUCGUGAAUUCAUCUCCGGGGGUAGAGCACUGUUUCGGCAAGGGGGUCAUCCCGACUUACCAACCCGAUGCAAACUGCGAAUACCGGAGAAUGUUAUCACGGGAGACACACGGCGGGUGCUAACGUCCGUCGUGAAGAGGGAAACAACCCAGACCGCCAGCUAAGGUCCCAAAGUCAUGGUUAAGUGGGAAACGAUGUGGGAAGGCCCAGACAGCCAGGAUGUUGGCUUAGAAGCAGCCAUCAUUUAAAGAAAGCGUAAUAGCUCACUGGUCGAGUCGGCCUGCGCGGAAGAUGUAACGGGGCUAAACCAUGCACCGAAGCUGCGGCAGCGACACUGUGUGUUGUUGGGUAGGGGAGCGUUCUGUAAGCCUGUGAAGGUGUACUGUAAGGUAUGCUGGAGGUAUCAGAAGUGCGAAUGCUGACAUAAGUAACGAUAAAGCGGGUGAAAAGCCCGCUCGCCGGAAGACCAAGGGUUCCUGUCCAACGUUAAUCGGGGCAGGGUGAGUCGACCCCUAAGGCGAGGCCGAAAGGCGUAGUCGAUGGGAAACAGGUUAAUAUUCCUGUACUUGGUGUUACUGCGAAGGGGGGACGGAGAAGGCUAUGUUGGCCGGGCGACGGUUGUCCCGGUUUAAGCGUGUAGGCUGGUUUUCCAGGCAAAUCCGGAAAAUCAAGGCUGAGGCGUGAUGACGAGGCACUACGGUGCUGAAGCAACAAAUGCCCUGCUUCCAGGAAAAGCCUCUAAGCAUCAGGUAACAUCAAAUCGUACCCCAAACCGACACAGGUGGUCAGGUAGAGAAUACCAAGGCGCUUGAGAGAACUCGGGUGAAGGAACUAGGCAAAAUGGUGCCGUAACUUCGGGAGAAGGCACGCUGAUAUGUAGGUGAAGUCCCUCGCGGAUGGAGCUGAAAUCAGUCGAAGAUACCAGCUGGCUGCAACUGUUUAUUAAAAACACAGCACUGUGCAAACACGAAAGUGGACGUAUACGGUGUGACGCCUGCCCGGUGCCGGAAGGUUAAUUGAUGGGGUCAGCGCAAGCGAAGCUCUUGAUCGAAGCCCCGGUAAACGGCGGCCGUAACUAUAACGGUCCUAAGGUAGCGAAAUUCCUUGUCGGGUAAGUUCCGACCUGCACGAAUGGCGUAAUGAUGGCCAGGCUGUCUCCACCCGAGACUCAGUGAAAUUGAACUCGCUGUGAAGAUGCAGUGUACCCGCGGCAAGACGGAAAGACCCCGUGAACCUUUACUAUAGCUUGACACUGAACAUUGAGCCUUGAUGUGUAGGAUAGGUGGGAGGCUUUGAAGUGUGGACGCCAGUCUGCAUGGAGCCGACCUUGAAAUACCACCCUUUAAUGUUUGAUGUUCUAACGUGGACCCGUGAUCCGGGUUGCGGACAGUGUCUGGUGGGUAGUUUGACUGGGGCGGUCUCCUCCUAAAGAGUAACGGAGGAGCACGAAGGUUGGCUAAUCCUGGUCGGACAUCAGGAGGUUAGUGCAAUGGCAUAAGCCAGCUUGACUGCGAGCGUGACGGCGCGAGCAGGUGCGAAAGCAGGUCAUAGUGAUCCGGUGGUUCUGAAUGGAAGGGCCAUCGCUCAACGGAUAAAAGGUACUCCGGGGAUAACAGGCUGAUACCGCCCAAGAGUUCAUAUCGACGGCGGUGUUUGGCACCUCGAUGUCGGCUCAUCACAUCCUGGGGCUGAAGUAGGUCCCAAGGGUAUGGCUGUUCGCCAUUUAAAGUGGUACGCGAGCUGGGUUUAGAACGUCGUGAGACAGUUCGGUCCCUAUCUGCCGUGGGCGCUGGAGAACUGAGGGGGGCUGCUCCUAGUACGAGAGGACCGGAGUGGACGCAUCACUGGUGUUCGGGUUGUCAUGCCAAUGGCACUGCCCGGUAGCUAAAUGCGGAAGAGAUAAGUGCUGAAAGCAUCUAAGCACGAAACUUGCCCCGAGAUGAGUUCUCCCUGACCCUUUAAGGGUCCUGAAGGAACGUUGAAGACGACGACGUUGAUAGGCCGGGUGUGUAAGCGCAGCGAUGCGUUGAGCUAACCGGUACUAAUGAACCGUGAGGCUUAACC
rnacentral:rRNA from 1 species